UAGAGAGUAUGCUGAAAUACAAUUUCAAAUAUUGGGAAAGAUAAAUCCUUUGUAGACGACUUAAAUACAAAACCAAGUGUUGUAAGCAUGAAAGUAGUCUUUGUACUACGAUCUGCUGAGAUUUAGCUUGUGUUUUACGAUUUGU
rnacentral:ncRNA from 1 species